AAAUCUGAUGCAGACCAGGACUGGGAAACCGAAACUGGAACUAACCUGGAGCUCAGGUCUACUGCGGGCUGGGAGCAGGAGAAGCCUGGCCGGAGCGCUACUGCGGCCCCUCAAGGAACGGUCUUCAUGUUCUUUAAUAGCUUGGAGGAGCGCGUAUUUAUGGGACGAAACUACAUCCAAAGAAGAUCCAGGAAAACCCAUCUAGUGAUAGUUGCUCUGACAAGUCUGAUUUUUUUAUGAGACCCGUUUUUCUGAUCCAACAAGCAAAAAUCUGAGAUUUGGCAAGACUGGCCUUACCUUAGUGAACUGAUGCAUGUAUGUGAUGUGAUAUGUGUGCCUGUGCAUGUGCGUAUUACGUGAGUGUGUGUGUGUGUGUGUGUGUGUGUGUAAGUAUGCAUGCAUGAGUGUGCAUGUGUGUGUGUAUGCGUGUGCAUGCACGUGACAUAUGGGAUGGAGAUGAUCACGACGCGCACUCACCCAUGCAGGCAUGUGCAUGUGGGGGCCCGAGCUCCCCACUGGCCAUCUUCUUUCCUUACUCUCAUCUUGUUUCUGAGCCAGGGUCUCUCGACUGAACCUGGAACUCACUGAUCGGCUAGGCUGACUGGCACUACCUGUCUUUUGUUUCAGGGUUUUCUAUUGAAAAGAGUUGUAAGCAUGUCAUUGUAGAAGCUGGCCUGGCAUUUUUUUGUUUGUUUGUUUUUGGAAGCAUAAUUCUAAAGAUAACUUUAAUCUCCCUUUAUGUCCACUCUACCUACUUUUCAGUGCUGAGUAUCAAAGCCAAGCCCUCCUCCCUCCCACUCCUGCAUGAGUGGAGUGCUCUGCCACCGAGUGCAUGGCAGCUGUCAGCCUUGUCUCGUCAGAGAAGUAAAGCUGGUCACCUCUCCAUUCCCACUGCAUCCUUCCCGCCACCCCUUCUGGAAGGAAACCUGCCUACUUGACCUUAAACCCAACACAUAAUUACUUUCUUCUGUUUUACUAAAAUAACGGUAACAAGUUUAAUCCUCAUGCUUUCCCUUGGUUCAUUUGUAAAAUAAAGGAAAACUAAAACACAUAACAUGUAACUAAUUAGUAAACUUGUAAUUACAUUUAAAUGAACCAUCACAGUAAGCAGCCAGUCUUGAAGGCAACAGGGCCCAUUACGAUGUCUCUGUGACCACAGUAGUCUUUAAGUCUCUUCUCCCUCUUUUCUCCUGAUUAUCCGAAAGUGAUGGAUGGUACAGGAUAGUACUGGAUGGUACAGGAUGGUACAGGAUGGUACUGGAUGGUACAGGAUGGAACUGGAUGGUACAGGAUGGAACUGGAUGGUUUCUGGAUGGUACAGGAUGGUACUGGAUGGUACUGGAUGGUCCUAGAUUGUAUAGGAUGGUACU